UACGGAGGGAGCUAGCGUUGUUCGGAAUUACUGGGCGUAAAGCGCACGUAGGCGGCUUUGUAAGUUAGGGGUGAAAGCCCGGAGCUCAACUCCGGAAUUGCCUUUAAGACUGCAUCGCUUGAAUCCGGGAGAGGUGAGUGGAAUUCCGAGUGUAGCGGUGAAAUGCGUAGAUAUUGGGAGGAACACCAGUGGCGAAGGCGGCUCACUGGACCGGAACUGACGCUGAGGCGCGAAAGCGUGGGGAGCAAACGGG
rnacentral:rRNA from 1 species